UACGAAGGGGGCUAGCGUUGCUCGGAAUGACUGGGCGUAAAGGGCGCGUAGGCGGUUUGGACAGUCAGAUGUGAAAUUCCUGGGCUCAACCUGGGGGCUGCAUUUGAUACGUUCGGACUAGAGUGGGGAAGAGGGUCGUGGAAUUCCCAGUGUAGAGGUGAAAUUCGUAGAUAUCGGGAGGAACACCAGUGGCGAAGGCGGCGACCUGGACGGACACUGACGCUGAGACGCGAAAGCGUGGGGAGCAAACAGG
rnacentral:rRNA from 1 species